GAGAACACUACGUCUCAUUCAUCGGCAGAAAAAGCCUUUCCUGUGAUGGCAAAUCAGUUGAUUAACUGAGGACCAAAUCCUCUAAAUCAAACCUUUGUUGGGGAGACUGAACUCUCGGUGCCAGUUUUUAGGAUUUCAGCUGGAAGAUUUCAGAGACACAGGAGAGCUGGCCCAAGAUAAAAUCUGGAGGCUAUACUUAGCAGCAGACAAUGCAGCCCCCCUCCCAAAAGUUGCUUGCUCCUUCGUGAGGCAAUUAGCUGCCCUGAAAAUGCCUGGUGUUGGGCAGCAAUCAGCACCGAGGCAUCGAGACCCGCGGCUGCCCGAUGGUCAACACUCACCUUCCUGAGGACAAGGGCUAUUUUUGGAGGACAAAAGGAAAUCACUGGAAAUCAUGAUUUUGCUGCUAAUAAUGGUGAAAAUGAAAAAAAAAGAAGAUCCUGAGCAGACAGCCCUCAUCUUCCUUCUCUGCCACUUGUGCCUCAGCAAUCAGGAGUAGGUUGGGGGUGAGGGGAUCGAUACGCUGAGGAUCAAGAGAUGCUCGGGGAACAGGGACAGGGAAAAGCUGUGGUUAUUAUUACAGUACCUUGCAGAGCAGCUUUCCCUGGCUGGAGGAAGUAAAUGCCAGGAUCAGCAAACCCGGCAAAAUUAAGAAUAGAAGAAUGGGCUAAUUAUGUUCUGAGGAGUUUAAUUAGUGCUAUGGAAGAUGGGAGGUAUUGGAGAGGGGGAAGGCUGUAGCACAAACCUUCUAUCGGACACUGACAAAUCCACAUGCUUCACCCAAAAACAUCAAUUCAGGAAAGAGAAAAUGAAGAGUCACCCUUGCUCACAAUUUGCAGAGUGGGGAUGUGGAAAAUCUUGAUCGAGUGCCUCGAGAGUAGGCGACAGUUCCACAGCAUCCCCAGACUUGGCCCGAGGAUGGAUCCUGUCCUGAGCUCUCAGGCAGGAUCCUACAGGGACACCUUACUGCAGCCUUUCUGUACUUAAAAGGGGCCGAUAAGAAAGAUGGGGACAGACUUUUAGCAGGGCCUGUUGUGAUAGCACAAGGAGUGAUGGUUUUAAACUAAUGGAGGGAGAUUUAGACAAAAUCUAAGGAAGAAAUGUUUUAUGCUGAGGGUGGUGAGAGCCUGGCCCAGGUUGGCCAGAGAGGUGGUGGAUGAACCAUCCCUGGAGACAUCCCAGGCCAGGCUGGACGGGGCUCUGAGCAACCUGAGCUGGUGAAGAUGUCCCUGCUCAUGGCAGGGGUGGCACUGGAUGAGCUUUGAAUGUCCCUUCAACCCAAACCAUUCUGUGGUUCUACUUGAGGUCACAUCUUUAACUAAUACAGUGCAGCGCUGACCCCCACCCUUCCCACUGCCCACAGUGUCUCCUCCAGGUUGGGGAUCCCCUCUGGCUCCCACCACAUCAAAUCACCAAAAACCAGGAUUGAAAGGACCAGGCCAUCCUUCCCCAAGGCAGGAGUUGUCUUAACCUGUUCUCUGGAGCCAGGUGAUGCUGGAGCAGAGAGCACAAUAAUUAUGUACAAAAUUCACUAAAUUCAUCUGUAUUUCAUCACUCACUUAAGCCUGGGAGCAUUUUUAAAUGGCCAAGAAUCACAGUAAUGCAAACAACUGUCACUUUAUUCUCAUUUCCAGCUGUACUGCAAAAGGCACACAAUAAACUUCAUUGGUACAAAAUCA